UCGUUGCAGAGUCUGUAGUAGCGCAGGUCGUUGACCAGCCUGUGCACAUUCUGGGUGAAUGAGGGCAGGUCCUGGAAGGCAGGGGCAUAGCUGCAGCCAACAACACACCAGGUCACCCACCCACCAGACCCCAACAGCUACUUCCAUCCCAGAGUGUGCACUGAAGAUAGGGGAGCACUUUCUAAAACUCAAAACUUCUAUUCACUGUUGCACUGCGUGUCACAGAGACUCUGUGCCAGGCGCUGUGGGAGAAAAAGAACAAGAGGAAUACGUCCCUAGGGCCUCUCGGGUGCCAGACACUGCUGCAAUCAACAUACAGACAUCAACUCACUGAGUCCUCACCACAAGGCUGCCACCAAGCCCUACCAGAACCACUAGUCUAAGGACAGAAAGACCAAAGCGCUGCACCAUGAAGAAGCUGGCCCCAGCUCACACUGAAGAGACCAGCACACUUGCUCCUGAGUCCGGCCCCUCAAACGCAGACAUGGCUGUGGUGACAGCCCUCUUCUUCACCAUGGCCCCUUGAGGUGACGCGCACACCGAGCAAUGUCUGCAGAACCUUUACCCACGGGGCUCCAGGCCGCCCCUGCCCCUCGAGAGCCACCCGAGCAGCAGCAAACACAGUCCCAAGGCCUGUCCCACUGGGCGCAGCGUGGGCCAUGGAAGGCCCUGGGCCAGAAGUGAGGCCCUGACCUCCGCCAUCAUGCACACGGUGAGACCCUGCUUUUUUUUUCAGUGUAGGUCCCGGUGAGGACUCAAACAGGCCCAGCAAGCCCCAGCAGAGCCAUGAGCAGGACCAAGUUCAUUUUCCUGCCCAACCACUAUUCCUCUUCCAGAACUCCAUUCAAAGCCUGCCUCUUCCCAAAGUCUGCACAGAUGCCUCCUAUUUCCUGGCCCCAGCAGCCAGCUCAGCGCCUCUGUCCUGAGCAAUCUGCUUCUGGGGAGUGUGUGCAGGCUCUGGGGCCAGAACACCCAGGUCUGCCUCCUGCUUCGCAGCUCUACCACUUCCAAGUUCUGUGAACUGCUCACCUUCUGAGCCCCCACCAUCUGUGAAAUGGGGGAGUAACAGGACCCACACUUCAGAGGCUUGUUAGAAGGCUUACUCGAGCCAAGACAUGUCACAUGCUUGGCACUAUGUGGUCCACAGAGGGUGCUGUAUUGGCCUGUCUACCAUGAAAGACUUGGUGAAGGCUGGGACUGGUGCCCCAGUUCCUGGCCCGGGGCUUGAGAAGCAGCUGGCUUCAAACACACAGUGCGUGACUGAAUGGAAGGUGGUGAUUCUUUUAUUUUACCCUCAAAAAACCAACUAAGGGAUGUCUUUUAAAUCAGUGGCUCCCAAAUGCCAAACCAGAAUUUCCUGGGUAGAACACAGAAGUCUGUUUCUCCAUUUUUAAUAAGUACCCCAGGUGCUUCUGAUAUAACUAGAUUUUUUUUUUUGAGACAAAGUCCCACUCUGCCGCCCAGGCUGGAGUGCAGUGGCACAACCUCCGCUCACUGCAACCUCUGCCUCCCGGGUUCAAGAGAUUCUUGUGCCUCAGCCUCCCAAGCAGCUGGGAUUACAGGCGUGUGCCACCACACCUGACUAAUUUUUUUUAUUUUUAGUAGAGACAGGGUUUCGCCAUGUUGGCCAGGCUGGUCUCAAACCCCCUAACCUCAAGUGAUCCGCCCGCCUUGGCCUCCCAAAGUGCUGAGAUUACAGGUGUGAGACACCGCGCCUGGCCUAUAACUAGAUUUUGAAACCACAGCUUUAAAUCAAAAAGUUGACUGAUAUUGAUGUCGUUAGAAGCUGAUCAUUAAGUAUUAGGAUCUGGCCUCUAGAAAAAGGAAAAAACAUAUCCAGGGGCUGAAGUGAACUGGAAGAGGCUUAGGAGAGAACAAGUCCCAAGAAAAGGAAGACCCCAAGACAAAGGAGAACAGGAUGAGUCUAAGCAAAAGCUUCCCUGCCACACGUGGCAAAUGAGGAAAGCAGGCGGCCAGGUUUGCACCAGUGAGAGCAGUGUGUGCAUCUGAGCACUACGGUGGAGCCGUGGACAAGCUGCUUCACAGAGGACUCAGGUCAAGAACCCCAAGAGGACCAGGGAGAAAGCGAUUUCUUUUCCUAAUUUCAUCAAGUAUAAAACGGUACAAGGAAAAGUUCCCAGAAGUUCCUAUCAGGCAAGAGAGAGGCCUGGUCACCUGACACAGGAAGAAGAGAACAGGUGAGCCCCAUGGGGAAGGAGGUCCCAGGCACUGUCAGGCUCCAACAAGAUGGCCUCAUGGACACCAAGAGCCAGCAGCACCCAGCUCCCACCGAGGUGCUGCACGGGUGGGGACAGCCCACCUGACAGUCCCUGCACAGGUGGCAGCAGUGGGACAAGAGGGUGAGUACUAGGAGGGCUCCUCCCAGGACCUGGCAGCAACUCAGCCCAAGCUGAGCUGGGGCUGGUCUGGAAAGAGCCCAAGACAGCCGGGGAACCUGGGUCCCACCUCUAACCCUGGGGACCCAGAAGUGCAGCUCCCAAGCACCAACCAUCUCAGCCUGAAUGCAAGCCUGG
rnacentral:lncRNA from 1 species